GGGAUGUGGCUCAAGUGGUAGUGCGCUCGCCCGGCAUGCGUGCGGCCCGUGUUCGAUCCUCAGCCCCA
rnacentral:tRNA from 1 species